GCUAUCAGUGUUUUCCUAAUUGUAUAAUUCCUAGGAAAUUUCAGCAAAACAAAUAUGUUGUGUUGUCUUAUCUUUCUUGUGUUCUUGCAGAUGAGAGAAAAACAUCUGUCAGGAGGUCAGGCCCAAUCAAUCACCUGGAUCUUCAACCAAUUUAAGAUAAAACCUUUGUUCUUUGCACAGUUUGUAUUGAAUUACACCUCCCCUUUUAUUCCAGAAGAUUUUAACAGGCUAGGAGGACAUGGCAAUUUUCUACUGCUCCUUUUAUUACCAGGAUUUGCAUAUCCUUUUUUACUGAACUGUGAAAUUGGCAUUACAAAUUCAAGUAAGCUACAGUUUCCAGACAUGACAAAUAAUUAUGAGGCCUAAAUAAAAUCAGGCAUAAGAUCACAUUUGUUGGAUCUCCUGAUAUUAUUUUGAACACAGCUCUGUACUGAAAUCAGGUUCUUAGAGAGUAAGUUUUUAUAUAAAAUGAUUCUAAAAACAUAACCCUCUAUUUUUUGGCAUCAGAAGAAUAUGGGAACACUAAUAUGGUAAGGAUUGACACACAGUACAAACAAUGCACAAUGCACAAACAAUGGUAAAGAGGACUCAGAACAUGAUAUACUAGAGCUUUACAUAUUAACUGGGAAGGGUCAUUGAAGACCGUUUUAUGUGACUUCAAAAAUAAUGUGCAACUGCACAGUGUAGAGAAUUAACUCCUUAAAAUCCUCCGACCUAAGAUCAAGAAGCAUUUUCCUCACUGCUAAGAGUAGCAAAUAUCUGAGGACUCUUGCUGUGCUUCAUCAUUUAUUAGAGCUAUCUUUCACAAACGGGCUUUGGAAACUGACAGUCUCUGCAAACACCUAAGCAGACCACCAAUGACAUUAAAAGCCUUAUAUUUGUUAGAGGGUAUGCAGAUGUUCUGUGGCUUGUCAUACAUUUGGGUCUUUACAUUCUUCCUUCUAGGUAAUACUUAUUAUAAUCAUCAUAUUGGCAAGCUGACACGAUGAGCCACUCCAGUCAUAUUUUUCUGUUACAAAUCUAUUUUUGACACAUUUUUAGAAUAUUAAGCAGAUGAUCUCUAACUCUGAUUGAAACUCAAUUCUAAGAUUUAAACAUUCCUUUAUAACAUUGUAUCUCCAGUCAAAUUUUUGAGAUAUUUCUAAUUUUUCCAGAACAGGUGACUGGAUGAUUUCAGAGUAUUUGUUAAAAUUUGGUUGAGUCUGGCUCUUGUUAUUAAAGUCUCCUGACUAUAAUCUUGCUUUGAACAGAAAACAUAUGAAUUAUCAUAGAGUUAGGGAACAAUUCUAGUUGGGAGGGACUGAAAGAAGAUCCCAGGUAAAACCUGCUGUUUAAAUCUCAACUACGAAGUCAGAGAAGGUUGCAU
rnacentral:lncRNA from 1 species